rnacentral:lncRNA from 1 species
AGGCUACUAGAAAUUUAAUCUAACAUAUCAAAAUAUGUAAUCUAUUAAAUUUCAAAUCAGAUUAUCUUUCAUAUAUCAGAUAUAUGAAUAAAAAAUCAGAUCAUAUAUGUGUGAAAAUCAGAUUCUAAAUGUAAAAAUUUUCAGAUCUACUAAACUAUGAUGUCUACAUCCUUCUAGGAUAACCUUUGAGCAUAACAAAG